UGGACUAGAAUGCCCUUGAUUGCCUCAGAGAUGAGGAGUUCCGCAAGGACAAGGAGCAAGGUGCUGCAUGGCCGUCGUCAGCUCGUGCCGUGAGGUGUUGGGUUAAGUCCCGCAACGAGCGCAACCCUUAUUUUUAGUUGCCAACAGGUCAAGCUGGGGACUCUAAAAAGACUGCCCGCGCAAGCGGAGAGGAAGGUGGGGAUGACGUGCCAAGGUUGGUU
rnacentral:misc_RNA from 1 species